UAAUGAAUUGUAAAUGGGGGCUGAUGCUGGCAGUUGAUUCUUCAGCUGCAUUGUGCACGCUUCUAACAAUCUUUAUCCAAACACUUGUGCACCUUUGAAAGAAGGGGGGAAGGUUUUCCCUCUUCUUAUUUACAUACACCGUUUCUAUAAUGUUGAAUGUGAUCUUGUGCCUUUUCCUUUAAGGAGGGCCUAACCUAAUGUUAAUACAACUUUUAACAACGGAUCUCUUGGCUCUCGCAUCGAUGAAGAACGCAGCGAAAUGCGAUAAGUAAUGUGAAUUGCAGAAUUCAGUGAAUCAUCGAAUCUUUGAACGCACCUUGCACCCUUUGGCAUUCCGAAGGGUAUGCUCGUUUGAGUGUCAUUGUACUCUCACACUCCCAAUUCUUUGAACUGGGAGCGGUGGACUUGGGUGUUGCCGCUUGACUGUGGCUCACCUCAAAUGCGUUAGUGCACCUCUUGGUUGGACAUAGUACGGCGUGAUAAGUGUCUUCGCCGGCACCUCACUUUGAGGGUGGCUGAUUGGGAGCUCUGUGCUUCAAACUGUCUUCGGACAAUAACUGACAACUUG
rnacentral:misc_RNA from 1 species